rnacentral:rRNA from 1 species
UGCUUUACACAUGCAAGUCGAACGGCAGCACGGACUUCGGUCUGGUGGCGAGUGGCGAACGGGUGAGUAAUACAUCGGAACGUGCCCAGUCGUGGGGGAUAACGUAGCGAAAGCUACGCUAAUACCGCAUACGAUCUACGGAUGAAAGCGGGGGAUCGCAAGACCUCGCGCGAUUGGAGCGGCCGAUGGCAGAUUAGGUAGUUGGUGGGGUAAAGGCUCACCAAGCCGACGAUCUGUAGCUGGUCUGAGAGGACGACCAGCCACACUGGGACUGAGACACGGCCCAGACUCCUACGGGAGGCAGCAGUGGGGAAUUUUGGACAAUGGGCGCAAGCCUGAUCCAGCCAUUCCGCGUGCAGGAUGAAGGCCCUCGGGUUGUAAACUGC